AUUGAACGCUGGCGGCAUGCCUUACACAUGCAAGUCGAACGGUAACGGGCCUUCGGGUGCCGACGAGUGGCGAACGGGUGAGUAAUACAUCGGAACGUGCCCGAUCGUGGGGGAUAACGAGGCGAAAGCUUUGCUAAUACCGCAUACGAUCUACGGAUGAAAGCAGGGGACCGCAAGGCCUUGCGCGGACGGAGCGGCCGAUGGCAGAUUAGGUAGUUGGUGGGAUAAAAGCUUACCAAGCCGACGAUCUGUAGCUGGUCUGAGAGGAUGAUCAGCCACACUGGGACUGAGACACGGCCCAGACUCCUACGGGAGGCAGCAGUGGGGAAUUUUGGACAAUGGGCGCAAGCCUGAUCCAGCCAUGCCGCGUGCAGGAUGAAGGCCUUCAGGUUGUAAACUGCUUUUGUACGGAACGAAAAGCCUUCUUUUAAUACAGGAGGGUCAUGACGGUACCGUAAGAAUAAGCACCGGCUAACUACGUG
rnacentral:rRNA from 1 species